GAUGACGCUGGCGGCGUGCCUAAUACAUGCAAGUCGAGCGAGCGGCGGACGGGUGAGUAAUGUCUGGGAAACUGCCUGAUGGUGGGGGAUAACUACUGGAACCGGUAGCUAAUACCGCAUACCAUCGGAUGUGCCCAGAUGGGCUUAGCUGGUAGGUGGGGUAACGGCUCACCUAGCCGACGAUCCCUAGCGGGUCUGAGCGGAUGACCCGCCACACUGGAACUGAGACACUGUCCAGACUCCUCCGGGAGGCAGCAGUGGGGCAUAUUGCACAAUGGGCGCAAGCCUGAUGCAGCCAUGCCGCGUGUGUGCAGAAGGCCUUCGGGUUGUAAAGUACUUUCAGCGGGGAGGCUUUACCCGCAGAAGAAGCACCGGCUAACUCCGUGCCAGCAGCCGCGGUAAUUC
rnacentral:rRNA from 1 species